GAUGAACGCUGGCGGCGUGCCUAAUACAUGCAAGUCGAGCGAACAGACGAGGAGCUUGCUCCUCUGACGUUAGCGGCGGACGGGUGAGUAACACGUGGAUAACCUACCUAUAAGACUGGGAUAACUUCGGGAAACCGGAGCUAAUACCGGAUAAUAUAUUGAACCGCAUGGUUCAAUAGUGAAAGACGGUUUUGCUGUCACUUAUAGAUGGAUCCGCGCCGCAUUAGCUAGUUGGUAAGGUAACGGCUUACCAAGGCAACGAUGCGUAGCCGACCUGAGAGAGUGAUCGGCCACACUGGAACUGAGACACGGUCCAGACUCCUACGGGAGGCAGCAGUAGGGAAUCUUCCGCAAUGGGCGAAAGCCUGACGGAGCAACGCCGCGUGAGUGAUGAAGGUCUUGGGAUCGUAAAACUCUGUUAUUAGGGAAGAACAAAUGUGUAAGUAACUAUGCACGUCUUGACGGUACCUGAUCAGAAAGCCACGGCUAACUACGUG
rnacentral:rRNA from 1 species